CGACACGCGACAGCAGCACCUCGGUCUCUGCUGCUCGUCCUCCUCCUCCUCCUAGAGUUCUAGUAGUAGUCAUCCCUUCCUCUCCGCCACCGCUCUUCCUUGGCAGAUUGCUCUGACUUCGCUUCUGGCGUUAUCCUUCCUCCCUACUGCUCCUCCUCCUAGUAGCCAUCCUUUCCACUCCGCCGUGCGCGACACUGUCUAUCACCACCAUAGUCAUGCCGCAGCUCGAUCUGCUGCUCCCAAGCGCAGCCACCUCGUCCCCGACCCCGAGCUCCUUCUUCGUCGACGACCGAAUCCACGACCAGGACCCCGUCACCCCCCUACCUUCUUUCCCCCGUCAUCUCCCUCUUCCCUUCUUCUCUGUUUCUCCCGUUUACUCUCAUCUCCCUCUAUCUCUCUUCCUCUUUGUUACAGCCUUACAGGGAGGCCGCCAUGGACGCCCGGGGUCCUCCGCUCCGACCCUCGCUGUGGCGGCUCUGCCGACUUCGUCGCCUAAGAAGACUACCAUGCCCGCUUCAGGAGCUUCGAGCCGACCCCCGCAACAUGGAGACCACCGCCGCCCUUCCGACAUCGAGAAUCGCCAGAUCCGGCCCGUCUCCGACCUACCUCGCCGUCCUUCGCCCGUUCCGACGUCUCCCCGGCGCUAGGAGCUCAGGCGAGCGCAGCCACAAGACCCUGACUUCUCUGCCCCAGAUCCCGCCAUGGUGGUCGUCGCCUCUCCGUCUCUAUCUGUCCAUCGCCGGAUCCACGCUGGUGUCCUCCAGGGACCCGCCAUGGAGGUUGCCGCCUCUCCCGUCUCGAUCCGUCCGCCGCCGGAUCGACGAGGGAGCAGCCGAGAUCCGCCGCCCAUUCCGCGACGCCUCGGCCGGCAGGAAGGCCAAAGGCCUCGCCAAGCAGCAGGAGGACUUGCGGCUAGGCUCGCCUGCCGCAAGCGCGCCCGCGAGCUCACCCCCGUGCCGGCCAAGGCCACCUUUGGUGACUUUCAUGUCCGCCGCGCUCUCGUACGCCUGCCGCGACGCCAGGGGCUUUUUUGCAAAAACGAAACGUUAUAUCAGGAACACACUGAAAAUAGGACUGCGGGUUUAUUUCGAAGAAACAGAGGGGCUUUCCCGACUCCGUGCUUUAUUAGUAUAUAUAGGGAAAGAUUUGUCCUAGUAUGUAUGUAAAUUGUGAAGAUCAAAUAUACCGGAGGGCCGCUGUUGGAGACGUGGCGUCCUAAAUUUUUUAGGUCUGCUGUUGGAGAUGAAUAUUUUG
rnacentral:rRNA from 1 species